rnacentral:rRNA from 1 species
UAACACGUGGGUAACCUGCCUCAUAGUGGGGGAUAGCCUUUCGAAAGGAAGAUUAAUACCGCAUAAGAUUGUAGUAUCGCAUGAUAUAGCAAUUAAAGGAGCAAUUCGCUAUAAGAUGGACCCGCGUCGCAUUAGCUAGUUGGUGAGGUAAUGGCUCACCAAGGCGACGAUGCGUAGCCGACCUGAGAGGGUGAACGGCCACACUGGAACUGAGACACGGUCCAGACUCCUACGGGAGGCAGCAUG